AGCCAGUCAGCCGAGGCUAAAAAAGUCAUUAUAUUUUUUAUGUAUUGAAAAUACUUUUACUAUUUCAUUCACGUAUUGUGUGGAAUUCUGUAAUUUUUUUAACGCACAGCCACUUUAAGCGCGAGACACAUUUUGAAAUCAGUUUUUUGCGUCUUCAUUUCAUUGAGUUGAUUUUGUACUUUACUUGAAAGGUAAAAAACUUAUAUUAUUAAUUAUUAGAUAUAUAAUGCUCAGGAUUAUGUUCAUCUUAUGCUGGAAACUGGUUCAAGUACGGUUGAAUUCAAAUUGGACGUAUUUAUGUCAGAAAGAACUAAGUAGGUACAAAUAAAAAAAUCACAUUUAUGCGAAGGAACUUUGUAAGUACAUACAGUUUGUGCGCUUCAAGAUCCCUUUUAAGCUAUUAAUAGGACGUAUUUCUAUCAAACGGAACUAUGUGCAUAAUGACGUGAGCCCUGUUAUGCACGUAUUCUAAUGGGUCUCAGGGCUCAUUUCUUAAUGCGCAUAGUUCUGUUUGGCAGAAAUACGUCCAAUACAUCCCACUCUUACAAUUAGUUCAACAGCCAUGCCUCGUAUUUUUCAUCACUUUAAGUUCGUGAUAAAUUGGAGUCCCACACAUUUUCAUAGCUAUUAGGAUCUUGCUUGACACGUACAUGUCAAUUUUCACUUAGGUACUACAAGAUGCAGGGCUUGACUAGAGCACUACUGGCUUACUUUCCUGUCUCAGCUGGCGACUUGAAAUCAUAUGUCAAGCUCUCCUUGAAGGUUGCUUAUACAUUUUAUAUUUUGACAGUAUUAUGUUUUUUUCUCUCUUCCUGCGUCACUGAACUUUAUUUUUUUAUCGAAUUGCUGAGUUUGGAGGAGGGAAAGCACAAAAAUGACGCGAUCAAGAAUAAUUUCGUCCUCCAAAAUCAAAAUCUUAAUAACCUACAAUAAAUUGUUGAAGACAAAAUUUAAGGUUAUGUAGUGGCCUUGGAGACCAUGAGUGAGCUGUGCAAGUUUGGUUUGUUUACCCUCAUGGUUCAAGAAGGCAUCACCUCGACUCAUGAACAAACGAUCCAUCAUCACAUUCAUAUUGGAUAUUAUCAAUGGAAGAGUUUUCUAGUUCAAGGCGUUGAAGCUGUCACAAAUGGGACAUAUUGGGCAUUCGGAAUCAUCAUACUUGGUUACUUAUUCUAUCUGAUAUUCGUGAGACAGAUCGUUGCUAAUUUAUCCGACACCAAGAAUCCCUUCAAGAGGCUAGAAACACCACUAGAAGAUCCAAAUGUAUCUGCCGAUUACGCAAACAGCACAACAUCUUUUUUCACACAUGAUUAUGAUUCUACACCGUUCACCGUUCCCUAUGUUCCUUCUUUCACGCUCAGGUGAAUAAAUCAGCCCAAUAAUGUGUUACAAAAGUAGUCUCUUUUAGCAUGACAUAAAUGAUAAAAUUGUAAUCUUCUCGGCAUAU
rnacentral:lncRNA from 1 species